GAAAAAUACAAAUAAAUAAGAGAAUAAGAUACAUUUGCUGAGGUGUUUUUUAAUCUUUUUCUUUGCUGUGAUACUGUGUGCUAACCAUCGAGUAUGUGAAAGCAGGAUGGAAAAUCAGGAAGAAAAACACAACUGUGCCGAUGUCUGAAUGGUUUGGUCAUCAUCGUCCGGGAGUGAGCACCGGGGUGUCUGCAUCAGUUGAACAGUCUCUUCAUCUGUGACAGGAAGCAAACCUCUGCAUUUUCUUCACUGCUUGAGUGACAGCGGUCCAGGCCUGUAACUGACCUGUAGAGGGAUCAGGGGGUGGGAGGUAUCCAUACUUCGUGAGCCAAUCCUGCCAAACAGAACAACAUGAAACCA